rnacentral:rRNA from 1 species
CCCUUAGAUGUUCUGGGCCGCACGCGCGCUACACUGAUGCAUUCAACGAGCCUAUCCUUGACCGACAGGUCCGGGUAAUCUUUGAAUCUGCAUCGUGACGGGGAUAGAUUAUUGCAAUUAUUAAUCUUCAACGAGGAAUGCCUAGUAGGCGCAAGUCAUCAGCUUGCGUCGAUUACGUCCCUGCCCUUUGUACACACCGCCCGUCGCUCCUACCGAUUGGGUGUGCUGGUGAGCUCUUCGGACUGCGCGGUCUGCAGUUUCUGCGUUCCGUGCGGAAAGUUGCGCAAACCUUAACAUUUAGAGGAAGGAGAAGUCGUAACA